UGCACUGAACAGAUAUCACAAAUACUACUAUUCUGUAACCGGUAGUGCGGUUGGGAGAUCGAUCUCUAAUCACAGAAUACAUGUCGACAUGGCCAACAUUUAACCCCCAUUGGCAGGGUCAGAGCAUAGCCAUACUAGGAGACAAAACAGAAAUAUAUAUUUUUAGAUUACCCAAAGUUCAUAAUACAGUAUAUCAAAUUUCUCAAGCAUAUCUCAUACACCUCAAAAGCAUAUUCGUUUCAGACUAAAUAUUUAUAUUUAUAUUCGCAAAAACAUAUACGUAUACAUUAUACAAAGUCAUAUACAAAUUUCAAAAUCAGAAAUCACAUUUUGCAUAAACUACAUUCUAAAUCCAACAUAUAAAACUUAGAUACAUAUACAUUUUGUAUGCUCAACUCGAUUUUAAUAAAUUGUUGGAUAAAAUAUUAUAUCUCAUGUACAAAUUCAGAUUGAGGUUAAUUUUUAGGGUGUGAAAACACCGAAGGGAUAUCAGUUACUUACAUGAUCUCGUAAAUUUUACUUUCAAGUAGCAAAUCCGAAAAUCCUCUUAGUAACCUAAUAUUUCGAGAAACAAAAAUUAGAACUGAAUUUGCAAACAGAUCCUACAAUGCGACUUUUCGUUGACCAUCCUAAGCACUUAGGGUGUGUAGCGACUUUUAUUACAAUUUAGGAACAUUUUUGGUUAAUAAGGUAAUAUUUUAUUAUAUAUAUUUUGAAUUAAAAGAAUUUCAAAUAAAUUUGAGAAUUAAACUUAAAUCAUAAAAUCAGUAAGGAUUUUAAAUUUCAGAUAGAGAAAUAAUACUAAUUUCACUUGUAAAAAUCAUAUUUGUAAUUAAUUUCAUAAAUUUUGAUAUUUUAAUAAAAUCUACUAAUUUAAUAAAUAAAUUUAUAAAAUAUAAAGAUACAUACUUCUUAACAUAAAAAUACAGUAGAAAUCACAUAUCCAAUAUUUAUGAAAUUUACAAUAGAAUUUAUCACAUAAUAAUUAAAAUCAAAUUUUUUAAAACAAAUUUAAAAAAAGAAAUUUUCUGUUUUCUGGAAUUUCCAGAAUCUGGAUGACCAUUUGGCUUACUUCAAACACUUAUAAUUCUUAACCCGAAUUAUUUCCAAUAAUAAAAUCAACACCAAUUUGAAGUAUUCAUAUCAUACUACAACACCAAAAUUUUUUUUGAUUAAAAAGACUACAAAAUUCUCAAGUUUCGAAAGCCAAAUUUCUCAAAAUCGUCACAAAAAUACCUAGAUUUCUGAGUUUCCAGUAUCAUCGUGUCUAUUUUGAGGUUUUAAUUCUCUUAACACAGGAAGCCUCUAACCAAGACAUUGACGCCCAAUUAAACAUCUAAUUUCAUACUACAAAAGCCCUCAAAAAAACGACCAAAAACGUUGCCGGAAUAUUGAGUUUCGGUGACCUAAAAUUGGGUUGUCAAAACUGUUGAAAAAUCAAGUUCCCAAUUAACUUUAAAAAUUCAUAUCUUCCUAACCAUAAGGCCAAACGAGAUGCUACAAAAGCCAUUGGAAAGAUCUUUUCAAGGCCUUUCCAUUGGUACCCAUCAUGUUACCGGAAAGUCAUCAGAAAAGUGACGGAUUUAAAUAAAAAAAUAUAUAUAUCUAAUUUAGGGUUUUUUUGUACCCAAAUUAUGAAAAUAUAAUUCCCAAACAUACCUUAAUCAGCAAUAUCUUUCCCUCUCAUCUGUCUUUCUUCUUCCCUGAUAUUAAGCCUUUCUGAC
rnacentral:lncRNA from 1 species